ACUAGUCAGGACUGCUUCCUCUCUCAGCCACCGGACUGGGCUGGAGCAGGCAUAUCUGUGAUGCAGGGAAGACCCACUCAGAAUGUGAGUGGCACCAUUCUAUUGGCUGGGUUCCAAGACUGAGCAAAGCAGGGAAAAGGAGAAAGCCGGCAACCAAGGAUUGAAUUUUGGACAUUAUGCAUGCUGGUCAAAUGCUCUACCAUUGAACUACAUCCCUCUGAAGUUCUUAAGUCAUUUCUAUGGUAUUUAAGUCACAGAAAUGCAGAGGUGACUAAUACCCCAUCUCAGAAAAUUGUAAGAGUGUGUAGAAGUGUACAGCAGCAAUUCCUUCAAAUAACAAGAACCAAAGAGAGCAGAAGAGAAGACAUUUAUAACCAGUUGGUAAACGUCAAGGACUACUUCAAGGAACUCCAAGGCAGUGUUUCUCCUGAGGUUCCUAAAGAAGAAGGAAAUCAACCAUUCAUAUUAAGGUCUUGAAAAACUCCCAAAAUGUAGGAGAUAAGGGCCUGUUCUUUCUACCUGUUUUAAGAAGGUUUUGACUAAUUAGUGUUAAAAAACUGUUAAACAGCUCCCAAUGGACUCUAAACAGGCUUAUCAGUAGGUAGGUGUUGAUGUGGCAGGGGUGGUAGUGGAAUUCUAAAACGGGAUAACUUGUUAGCUCAAUUUUUCUCUCUAAAAAUGUUAACUUUGUCAGUGAUUGCUAGUUAGUGUUAGAGAUGGAGAAAGUGGCUAGAAAGCACAGUUCUGUAGCCAGUGUCUCUUGCUCCUGUGAAAGGAUACUUUUAAAAAGGACAGCUGAGGGGGCUAGAGAGAUGGCUCAGUGGUUAAGAACAUGGAGUGAAAUUCCAGCAAGCACAUGGUGGUUCACAACUAUCUAUAAGGGCAUCUGAUGCCCUCUUCUGGCACGAGGGUGUACAAGCAGCAAAACACUUAUACAAGAAAGAAAGGAGAGAACUUAAGAGACUACCCAAUUUUUUUUGAAAGGCAGAUGACUCAAGACUAAAUACCCUCUCUACUGAUGUUGAUGAAAGUUAUCUUGUUGUUUUCAGUCUUGUCAGAAAUAUCACAGGAGGUGGGCUUAAAUUUUCUUUCUAUGUUAGAGAUACACAGUUUCUUUUAAAAUAUUUGGAAAUAAAAAUGGCAAGAUCAUAAGUUGUCACUC
rnacentral:lncRNA from 1 species